AUUGAACGCUGGCGGCAGGCCUAACACAUGCAAGUCGAACGAGUGGCGGACGGGUGAGUAAUGUAUGGGGAUCUGCCUGAUGGAGGGGGAUAACUACUGGUAACGGUAGCUAAUACCGCAUACCAUCAGAUGUACCCAUAUGGGAUUAGCUUGUUGGUGGGGUAAAGGCUCACCUAGGCGACGAUCGCUAGCUGGUCUGAGAGGAUGACCAGCCAAAAUGGAACUGAUAAACGGUCCAGAAUCCUACGGGAGGCAGCAGUGGGGAAUAUUGCACAAUGGGCGCAAGCCGGAUGCAGCAAGGCCGCGUGUAUGAAGAAGGCCUUCGGGUUGUAAAGUACUUUCAGCGGGGAGGCGUUACCCGCAGAAGAAGCACCGGCUAACUCCGUGCCAGCAGCCGCGGUAAUAC
rnacentral:rRNA from 1 species